GUCCCUUCCAGCACUACGAUUCUAGGAUUCUAUGCUUUUAAGGUCCCGUCUGCAGGUGCACCAAAACCCAUCAUCCUGUUUUGCAAGAAUCUCAGCACCAGGAGACUUGCUGGAAACCAACUAGACGUAGAAUCAUAGAACUGCGCAGUUGGCAGGGAC